rnacentral:rRNA from 1 species
AUUGAACGCUGGCGGCAGGCUUAACACAUGCAAGUCGAGCGGGGGAAGGUAGCUUGCUACCGGACCUAGCGGCGGACGGGUGAGUAAUGCUUAGGAAUCUGCCUAUUAGUGGGGGACAACACCUCGAAAGGGAUGCUAAUACCGCAUACGUCCUACGGGAGAAAGCAGGGGAUCUUCGGACCUUGCGCUAAUAGAUGAGCCUAAGUCGGAUUAGCUAGUUGGUGGGGUAAAGGCCUACCAAGGCGACGAUCUGUAGCGGGUCUGAGAGGAUGGUCCGCCACACGGGGACUGAGACACGGCCCAGACUCCUACGGGAGGCAGCAGUGGGGAAUAUUGGACAAUGGGGGGAACCCUGAUCCAGCCAUGCCGCGUGUGUGAAGAAGGCCUUAUGGUUGUAAAGCACUUUAAGCGAGGAGGAGGCUACUCUAGUUAAUACCUAGGGAUAGUGGACGUUACUCGCAGAAUAAGCACCGGCUAACUCUGUGCCAGCGGCCGCGGUAA